CGGCGGACGGGUGAGUAACACGUGGGUAACCUACCUAUAAGACUGGGAUAACUUCGGGAAACCGGAGCUAAUACCGGAUAAUAUUUCGAACCGCAUGGUUCGAUAGUGAAAGAUGGUUUUGCUAUCACUUAUAGAUGGACCCGCGCCGUAUUAGCUAGUUGGUAAGGUAACGGCUUACCAAGGCGACGAUACGUAGCCGACCUGAGAGGGUGAUCGGCCACACUGGAACUGAGACACGGUCCAGACUCCUACGGGAGGCAGCAGUAGGGAAUCUUCCGCAAUGGGCGAAAGCCUGACGGAGCAACGCCGCGUGAGUGAUGAAGGUCUUCGGAUCGUAAAACUCUGUUAUUAGGGAAGAACAUACGUGUAAGUAACUAUGCACGUCUUGACGGUACCUAAUCAGAAAGCCACGGCUAACUACGUGCCAGCAGCCGCGGUAAUACGUAGGUGGCAAGCGUUAUCCGGAAUUAUUGGGCGUAAAGCGCGCGUAGGCGGUUUUUUAAGUCUGAUGUGAAAGCCCACGGCUCAACCGUGGAGGGUCAUUGGAAACUGGAAAACUUGAGUGCAGAAGAGGAAAGUGGAAUUCCAUGUGUAGCGGUGAAAUGCGCAGAGAUAUGGAGGAACACCAGUGGCGAACGCGACUUUCUGGUCUGUAACUGACGCUGAUGUGCGAAAG
rnacentral:rRNA from 1 species